CAAGCCCUUGGGACUUUGUUAUGUGGUAUCUGAAGAGAUUAUAUAAACACCCACCGUGGUACUGGGCAGAUGCCUAUCUCAGCUGGAAGUGUGAAUCUCAGGAGCAUCUUGAGAAUUUUACUUCAUGGGGCAGAGUAGCCAACCCCCCCAGAGGUUCUCACACUCCACUCCCCCAGCUCAGAAUCUCCAUAAAUAUUGCCUUGCCAGGCCUAGUCCCCAAGUGUAUUCAUGCCUAUCUGUUCAGUUUCACAACCCUCUUCAGCUGGUCAUGUAAGCCACCAGGCUCAAGGGAAAAUGAGUUGCAUUUCACUCUAUACCUCUGACAUAAUCCUUCUGGGUACAGUCUUCUCUGUGCCUAUUUCAAUUGCAUUCUGCUAGGUGCACUGUAGGCCACAUGGUACGUAUUUGCUGGGACAGUAUGGCAGUGUUUGCUAUGAUUCCCCAGGUUCCUGUAGCAGCAUGCUGCAAUAUGAUUUCCUCAAUGGCUUCUUGCCUCAUCUCUCCACAUGCCAGUUGAGAAACACAGAGCACUUUUCAGAUACCAGGUCACUGUGCAGCCUCUGGAUCAGAUAACUACAGACUGCUUUUUCUGUUCUAUGGGUUUUUGUGUGCCAAAUUUGCCCAUUGUGUUUUUUUCUGUGUUUGUUAGUCCUCCUCCCUGUGGUGAACUGGCACUGCUGCUGCUACUGCAAACAGCUUGGUUCCAAUGUAUUCGUUCUUGUCCUUUGUUCAAUAUGCCUGAAUUUCUGAGUCUAAGAAACUCUGACUGUUCAAUAUUAAAUUUCAGUGAAUUCCUUCCUUCUCUCACCCACCUUGCUGAGAAGCAGUACUCCUGCUGUUUGAAUCCUGAGCCAUGGAACAACUGGAAAUGCAGCCUUCCUUUAAUCUGACAUCUGAAUCAGUUCAGCUUCUUUUGAGAAUGAUUACCUCUUCAAUUAGGAGGGGCUUCCAAAGAAGCCACCCAACUCACAUGACCCUCCACAAACCUAAAUAGGAAUCACAAUAGAAAAAGUAAUCACAUCUGCCCCUGAAGGCAAAACAGAUACACAGUGUCAGGGUUGCCAUCAGGAAUAAAACUUGAGGAAGGCCCUUCCCAAUGCACAAGGUCCUAUUGGGUGCAUGUACACACGUGAGCAGUUCUUCAGGCUACCAGAUUCUGCUCCCGGCUUAAAAGCUUCCCUCGAGCAAAACAUCCUGCUGCCACACAGACAUUACACCCACUAGGUUCCAGAGAAAACUCCCAACAGGAGAGUCCUCCCCACAUUCUCAGCACUGGGAGAGAGGCCCUGAUGUGCCAGGUUAACAAUGACACUACUUCAGCCUGUCGGCCCUUGUCAUUUGCAUAUGGAGUAUCCCCACUAAGGCCCAUACAUUAAAGGCUGUGGUGCCUUUACCACCCAUGGAGGUGGUAAAACCUUACGAGGUGGGGCCUAGUGGGAGAAAGGUAGGUCAUCAGGAGUGUUUCCUUUGAGGGGAUAUUGGGAUCCCAGCCCUUUCUCCUCUUUUUCCCUCCUGGAUGAGGUGGGCUGUUUCCUCCAUGAUACAUUCCCACCAUCUUGUUCUGCCUCAUUAUAGGUACAAAAGCAAAAGAACCAGACUGAAUCUUUCAAACCAUGAGUCAAAUAAACCUUUUGUCCUUAGAAAUUUCUUAUUUCAGGUUUUUUUUGUCACUGUGAUUGACACAGUGUUCCUUAACCCCUCAUAUCUCUGGACCAUUCCACUGAGCUUUGGAGGAGACAGGCCAGAGCCCAACCCCUUUGCACAGUCAGGGUGGUUUUUUGCCCCUCAAACUCUAAGCAGCCACAACAGUUGCUGUGACAUGAGCUCCAAGCUUGUGGUAUGUAUGUGUGCCUUUUCAGGUCUUGUUAAAUUCCUAGAAGCCAAGCUGAGGCAAGAGAAGAGGGAGGGCAGUGAUCAUCAAGGGCCAGAGGACCAGCCUCCACUCCUCUUUCUCUCAGGAUCAGAACCACCAAACCAUUCUGUCACUUCCACUGCUCUUGUGGUGACCAUUUUUUGGUGUGAAGAUACACUUGAUUCCUUUUGUAGAUCACAUUUCAGACUAACUGGAGUGAGGGUUUGUGGGAAUGGGGUCAGAUCAUAAGAAUCAAGGAGGAGCCAGUGAGGAAGAAGACAUCUGAGUACCCUAGUGAAGGUGUCAAUGGAAAACUCACUGAACCUCAGUCAACUGCUUCCCUUUGAACUGGCCCUAGAAUGACCCCAGCAUGGACUCAAACACCAUGGCCUCCUGAUUCUGAGAAGUGCCUUCAAGGAAAUGUCUACUUGAGUACAAUCACAGUAGCAGCUGUAGUAAAUGUGACUGGACCACAUGUGGAAUUGGGACCCUACCACCAGAUGGGCAGAAGCAGUAUUUGGCUGAAUAAAAACAAUGAUAAGGGCUGGGGUUGUGGCUCAGCGGUAGAGUGCUUGCCCAGCAUGCACGGGGCACUGGGUUCGAUCCUCAGCAACAGAGAUGUAAAAUGAGGAUAUUGUGUCCACCUAAAAAUAAAAAAUUUUAAAAAAAGACAAAGAAUGAUAACAUGAAAUGCUCCCAAGGAGCAUCAGUGACUUCCCAACAAGGAUAUGGGAGCUAAAUCCUGAGGCCACAGGAGGAGCUGUGCUGGGGGCCAGACCAAGUUCUCUGAAGGUAGCAUAAAAGACAAAGGGGCCUCUCAAAGGAACACACCCUACACCUGGGACUACUGCCCCACCUUUACUAACCCACCCAAGACCUAGUGGAAACCAGAAGAGUCAAUGCUGGUAGCCACUCAAGUGUGGUAAAACCAGAACUAGAUGUCACUUAAGAAUUAAAAGAAAGUACAAAUGUAAUGACAAUAUUUAUUAUAAGGGAAAUGAUGGCUGGGGUGGACACAUCUCCUCCCAUGUGAAUCAUACAGUCCUUUGAUUGAGGCCAACAUAUACAUUGUAGGCAUAGGGGAUGGAAUCCCAAAAAAGCUAUGUUAAUUAUACUUUUUCAGCCAUUAAGAAAUGGGGAGGGGGCAGCUGGG
rnacentral:lncRNA from 1 species